CCGGCGCACGGUCGAUAGCGCGUGCUGGCGCGGCCAUGUUGCACGAGGCGCGCACGUGCACGCCCCGCGCGGAGCACUGACUCUUUGUGACACUCGGUGCCCUGUUUGUACAUGUGUCCAUCAGUGUUAAGGUUUCUACAAUAAUGCAGCAAUCAAAUGGAUUCUAGCUUAGGCGAGUUUGCCGCCGAUUCAUGUCUUGCGCUCCAUCCAAACGCUAUGCUAAUCAAAAGACGUAAG